rnacentral:rRNA from 1 species
ACCAUGCACCGAAGCUGCGGCAGCGACACUAUGUGUUGUUGGGUAGGGGAGCGUUCUGUAAGCCUGUGAAGGUGUGUCGUGAGGCAUGCUGGAGGUAUCAGAAGUGCGAAUGCUGACAUAAGUAACGAUAAAGCGGGUGAAAAGCCCGCUCGCCGGAAGACCAAGGGUUCCUGUCCAACGUUAAUCGGGGCAGGGUGAGUCGACCCCUAAGGCGAGGCCGAAAGGCGUAGUCGAUGGGAAACGGGUUAAUAUUCCCGUACUUGGUGUUACUGCGAAGGGGGGACGGAGAAGGCUAUGUUGGCCGGGCGACGGUUGUCCCGGUUUAAGCGUGUAGGUGUGUGUUCCAGGUAAAUCCGGUUCACUUUAACACUGAGGCGUGACGACGAGGCACUACGGUGCUGAAGCAACAAAUGCCCUGCUUCCAGGAAAAGCCUCUAAGCAUCAGGUAACAUCAAAUCGUACCCCAAACCGACACAGGUGGUCAGGUAGAGAAUACCAAGGCGCUUGAGAGAACUCGGGUGAAGGAACUAGGCAAAAUGGUGCCGUAACUUCGGGAGAAGGCACGCUGACACGUAGGUGAAGUGAUUUACUCAUGGAGCUGAAGUCAGUCGAAGAUACCAGCUGGCUGCAACUGUUUAUUAAAAACACAGCACUGUGCAAACACGAAAGUGGACGUAUACGGUGUGACGCCUGCCCGGUGCCGGAAGGUUAAUUGAUGGGGUCAGCGCAAGCGAAGCUCCUGAUCGAAGCCCCGGUAAACGGCGGCCGUAACUAUAACGGUCCUAAGGUAGCGAAAUUCCUUGUCGGGUAAGUUCCGACCUGCACGAAUGGCGUAAUGAUGGCCAGGCUGUCUCCACCCGAGACUCAGUGAAAUUGAACUCGCUGUGAAGAUGCAGUGUACCCGCGGCAAGACGGAAAGACCCCGUGAACCUUUACUAUAGCUUGACACUGAACAUUGAGCCUUGAUGUGUAG